AUCGCUUCUCAGCCUUUUGGCUCAGAUCAAAU
rnacentral:snRNA from 1 species